UGGGGAAUUUUGGACAAUGGGGGCAACCCUGAUCCAGCAAUGCCGCGUGUGUGAAGAAGGCCUUCGGGUUGUAAAGCACUUUUGUCCGGAAAGAAAUCAUCGGGGCCAAUACCCCUGGUGGAUGACGGUACCGGAAGAAUAAGCACCGGCUAACUACGUGCCAGCAGCCGCGGUAAUACGUAGGGUGCGAGCGUUAAUCGGAAUUACUGGGCGUAAAGCGUGCGCAGGCGGUGCUGUAAGACCGAUGUGAAAUCCCCGGGCUUAACCUGGGAACUGCAUUGGUGACUGCAGCGCUGGAGUAUGGCAGAGGGGGGUGGAAUUCCACGUGUAGCAGUGAAAUGCGUAGAGAUGUGGAGGAACACCGAUGGCGAAGGCAGCCCCCUGGGCCAAUACUGACGCUCAUGCACGAAAGCGUGGGGAGCAAACAGG
rnacentral:rRNA from 2 species